rnacentral:rRNA from 1 species
AUGGCCAUGGCGACACCCAAGUGCCGUCCCGUCCUCAUCUUGCUCCUCCUAGCCGUAUCCAGCUGCCUUCCGCAUGUCGUCACCUCGCUUAGCUUCGACUACAACUUCUCCGCCCCCGGCGUCCUCGCCGGCGCCGACCUCAAGUACAUGAACGACUCCGCCCCUGUCCUCGACCGGAUCGACCUCACCAACCUCUCCAGGAGCUGGAGCACCGGCCGCGUCGCCCACGGGCAGGCCGUGCGCCUCUGGGACGACGCCACCGGCAAGGCCGCCAGCUUCACCACCAACUUCACCUUCGCCGUCAAGUCUCUCAACGUGACCACCAGCCAGGGUGAUGGCAUGGCCUUCUUCGUGGGACCUUACCCGCCGAGCAUGCCGACGGACGCCAGCGGCGGCUUCCUGGCGCUGUUCAAUAACCGCGGCAACCCGGCCAACACCUACUUCCCGCCGACCGUCGGCGUGGAGUUUGACACGCUCAGGAACGUCGAGUGGGACCCCAAUGACACCAUCAGCCACCUCGGCCUCAACGUCAACGACAUCAGGUCCAGGAACUACACGGCGCUGCCGGACGGGAGCUUCAAUGGGGCCAUGUCGGCGUCGGUCAGGUACGACGCCGGCACGGCCACGCUCUCGGCGACCCUGCGGUUAGACGACAUGCCGGAGUUGAGUUCUUACACCGUCAGCACAAACGUCGACUGCCGGGCCGCCGGCCUGACGCAGGACGCAGCGGUGGGAUUCUCGGCGGCCAUCGGGGACUACGUCGAGCAGCACCAGAUUUUUUCCUGGUCGUUCGAGUCCACUCUGACAGAUGACAUAAUGACCUCGAAGAGGAAAGAAACCGGUCUAGUAGCCGGGCUGGUAUCAACUGGCAUCUUCAUAUUCGUCGCUGUAGCGGCAUCGCUCGGUUACCUACAAUAUCUGAAAAGAAAGGGCAUGCACGCUCAAGACGCACCUCAAGAUUCAGAUGUCCCGCUCGACCAAGACAUGGAUGACGUAUUUGAGAAGGGGGCGGGGCCUCGGAGAUUCAGUUACGAUGAGCUGUCCCGGGCAACCCGGGGAUUCUCCGACGAGGAGAAGCUCGGCGAGGGCGGGUUUGGGGCAGUGUACCGAGGGUACCUACAGGAGCAGGGGCUUCAUGUGGCCAUCAAGAGGAUCUCCAAGACGUCAAGCCAGGGGAGGAGGGAGUACGUCGCGGAGGUGACCAUCAUCGGCCGGCUGCGGCAUCGCAACUUAGUCCUGCUCGUCGGAUGGUGCCAUAAAGCUGACGAGCUCCUGCUCGUCUAUGAGCUCAUGACAAACGGAAGCCUCGAUGAGCAUCUCUACAGUUCCACCAACAUACUGACAUGGCCAACCAGGUACAAGAUCAUUCUUGGGACGGGUUCUGCGCUGCUCUACCUGCACCAGGAGUGGGAGCAGUGCGUGGUGCACAGAGAUAUCAAGCCAAGCAAUAUCAUGCUCGAUGCCUCGUUCAACCCCAAGCUGGGGGACUUCGGGCUCGCACGCCUUGUCGACCACAGCCGUGGCGGGUACACGACGAUGCUGGCUGGUACCAAGGGUUACAUGGACCCGGAGUGCGCGGUGACCAGCAGGGCCAGCGCGGAGACCGACGUCUACAGCUUUGGGAUCGUCCUCCUCGAGGUCGCCUGCGGGCGGCGGCCCAUCGCCCCGCUCCAGGAGGAUGAGAACAAAGUCGUGCUCGUGCAAUGGAUCCAGAAGUUGUACGUGGGAGGCACGCUCCUUGACGCAGCGGACACGCGGCUUGACGGCAACUUCGAUGCACAGGAGAUGGAGCGUGUGCUGGUCGUGGGACUAUGGUGCGUGCACCCCGACUACGGCUUCCGGCCGUCCAUCCGACAAGCCAUGAGCGCGCUCCACUUCGAGGCGCCAGCUCCGGACCUGCCGCCGGAGAUGCCGGUGGCGAUGUACGCACCGCCGCGCGGAGGGCACAGAUCGAGCUACACGUCGUCGAAUGGGAGUUCCAGCACCGGUAACCGCUCGUCGACAAGUGACCGGGCGGAGGAGAAUCGUUCUUCUGCGAGUGCUAACACGAAGAGCGCCAGGAGGCCGAUAGCAACACCCACGAAUCAGACACUGGGGACGAGAACGACUGAGUGA